rnacentral:rRNA from 1 species
UACGUAGGUGGCAAGCGUUAUCCGGAUUUAUUGGGUGUAAAGGGCGUGCAGCCGGGCUGACAAGUCAGAUGUGAAAUCCCGCGGCUUAACCGCGGAACUGCAUUUGAAACUGUCGGUCUUGAGUACCGGAGAGGUCAUCGGAAUUCCUUGUGUAGCGGUGAAAUGCGUAGAUAUAAGGAAGAACACCAGUGGCGAAGGCGGAUGACUGGACGGCAACUGACGGUGAGGCGCGAAAGCGUGGGUAGCAAACAGG